rnacentral:lncRNA from 1 species
GGGCAGGCCCAGGGCAGCGGCUGGCUGAGGGGCACGGCGGCCAUUCCCGGCUCUCCCCGGGGCCGCCGCCUGCGGGCUUCAUUCAGGGGCGAAGGCAAUAAAGUGGCUGCAGAAGAGGCAGAGACGGCUGGGUCUCGUGUCUUGAGCACGGGGAGAGGCCAGCAGGGGUGGGGGUGAGGUGGCGAACUCGGCGGGCCGGGAGCAGCGGCCGGGCAGGCUGCCACCCGUCUUGAUGCCCAGCGUCUCUCCCGGGCUCCCGACUGGAAGUUUGGGGCAAGGACUCUGCGCACAGCGAGUGUCCCGGUGACUGUUGCCCCUGGCCUGGGCUCCCCACUACCUCCCUCCCUCCGCCGACCGCUCCGGAACCCCCACCCCACGAGACUAAUCCUCACGUCGCCCAGGAACUGGAGUUUGAGUAGGGAAGUCCAAGAGAGGCGGCCUCGACCCCAAGACUGAGCCUUUAUAGGGGCAGAGAGCGUGGGGGCGUCUCUACCGAUCAGCUGACUGCGGUCCGGACACGUCGUCGGGGCAACCGAGAAAGCCUCGGUGUGAGGCCAGUGAUCGGACUUGUGGCAGCGGUGGUGGCGCUGGCGAUUAGAGGGCUUUGGAACGGGGCCUCCAUGCACCCUGCUGGCUCCUGCCACGCCCCGCUCGGCCUGUAGGUGUCCUUCCUGUGUGUACCCCCUUCCCAUCCAGGAGUGGUUUUGUGCCCUUCCAAGUAACCAAAGGAGCCACCGCCACUGAGCACUGCGCUGGAUUAUUUCUGAGCUGGAGAUUGAGUUUCUUGAAAGUUUGGGGUGAUAGGAGGUGACUUGGGCUAAGUAAGCUCAGGGGGUAGUCCCUGUGCACAGACCAUACCCGCUGGAACCCAGUCAAGUGGCCACUGAAGGAGACCUCGGAGGAAGAGGCCAUCUCUCAGGAAGACCCCUUCGGGCUGCCCCAUUGCUCUGGGCCCCUCCUUGCCACCACUGCCCAAAAAUACUACCCCGGGACCACCUGAAGGCUCUGACCAUGGACGUGUGGACUUCCUCAUGGAGGUCUGACCCGCAAGCUCCGAUGUGGAGACACUUGGUGGCUGACUCCUGCUUCCUC